GACGAACGCUGGCGGCGUGCCUAAUACAUGCAAGUAGAACGCACAGUUUAUACCGUAGCUUGCUACACCAUAGACUGUGAGUUGCGAACGGGUGAGUAACGCGUAGGUAACCUGCCUGGUAGCGGGGGAUAACUAUUGGAAACGAUAGCUAAUACCGCAUAAUAUUAAUUAUUGCAUGAUAAUUAAUUGAAAGGUGCAAUUGCACCACUACCAGAUGGACCUGCGUUGUAUUAGCUAGUAGGUGAGGUAACGGCUCACCUAGGCGACGAUACAUAGCCGACCUGAGAGGGUGAUCGGCCACACUGGGACUGAGACACGGCCCAGACUCCUACGGGAGGCAGCAGUAGGGAAUCUUCGGCAAUGGACGAAAGUCUGACCGAGCAACGCCGCGUGAGUGAAGAAGGUUUUCGGAACGUAAAGCUCUGUUGUAAGAGAAGAACGGGUGUGAGAGUGGAAAGUUCACACUGUGACGGUAUCUUACCAGAAAGGGACGGCUAACUACGU
rnacentral:rRNA from 1 species